rnacentral:rRNA from 1 species
ACCGCACAAGCGGUGGAUGAUGUGGAUUAAUUCGAUGCAACGCGAAAACCUUACCUACCCUUGACAUGUCCGGAAUCCCGAAGAGAUUUGGGAGUGCUCGCAAGAGAACCGGAACACAGGUGCUGCAUGGCUGUCGUCAGCUCGUGUCGUGAGAUGUUGGGUUAAGUCCCGCAACGAGCGCAACCCUUGUCAUUAGUUGCCAUCAUUUGGUUGGGCACUCUAAUGAGACUGCCGGUGACAAACCGGAGGAAGGUGGGGAUGACGUCAAGUCCUCAUGGCCCUUAUGGGUAGGGCUUCACACGUCAUACAAUGGUCGGUACAGAGGGUUGCCAACCCGCGAGGGGGAGCUAAUCCCACAAAGCCGAUCGUAGUCCGGAUCGCAGUCUGCAACUCGACUGCGUGAAGUCGGAAUCGCUAGUAAUCGCGGAUCAGCAUGUCGCGGUGAAUACGUUCCCGGGUCUU